AUCUCCGAUGUUACCCUAAUCUCCUCUACAAACAACAGCCGUCAUCAAACCACUAAUCACUGCCACCACAUGGCCACAACCUCCUAAAGACGUCGCCUCCAUUUCUUCUCUGGGUUUAGGACUUUCAAGAUUUCUGUACAAUCUCCCUAAAUUCUGUUAAUCUAUUCUUCUAUUGUAACUCUUUUGCAGGUGUUCUGGAAAUUACCGGGUAUAACGAGCGUUGACACGUCGCCGAUGGAGAUGCGGGAAGACGAAGCCGACAACGAUCGAAGUCUACAACCUACCUGCGUGGAAAUUGAACCAGUACCCGAACACAUCGUUGGUUCAAAUCGAAGGAGUGAACACGAAAGAGGAGGUAUCAUGGUAUCAAGGGAAACGUAUGACGUACGUCUACAAAGCCAAGGUCAAGAAGAACGGAUCACACUAGCGGUGCAUUUGGGGGAAAGUUACCAGCCCUCAUGUGAACACCCGUAUUGUUCUUGCUACGAUCACUUCCAAUCUCCUUCCUAAAUCCAUGGGGUCAAGGGUCAGAGUGUUCAUGUACCCAAGCAACAUUUAAGGAAUUCAAUCCAGACCCGGUGAUAUCAAUUUAUACAGCCAAGCUUGAGCAUCUUGAGAAAGCACUAAGGCAUGUUUAUCAUGUCUCGGUGAACAUGCUAAAAGGAAAUGAAUUGGAGCUUCUAUUAGUCAUCUUACCUGAUAAUAAUGGAUCCUGAUACGAGGUUUAAGAGGUUUAAAUGGAUCCCAAUGAUUGCAGUUUCAUUACUCCAGGUGUUUAUCUACCAGAAUCGAUAUUCUCACAUGGCCAACUUUAUGUGGCGUUGUCCAGAGGAAUAUCACGUGUCAAUAUCAAUGUAUUAGUAAAGCCGGAAAAAAAACGUUUGAUAAUGAUGGAAUCUACACAUCAAACGUUGUGUACAAAGAAGUUUUAUGUGAUUAACAAGGGCUAAUAGAUGAAACAACAUGAUUGCAGAUUGAUGUAUUUUAUAUAUUGGACAUGUUAUAAAUAUACAAAACUACAUGAUUGCAGAUUGCUGUUACUUAUAUAUUGUAAAAUCAAGUAUGAACUAUUAGAUGAAAUUCCAAAUGUAGACUCAACUAUUGUCGUAUUGUAUGACUAUGCCGCCAGCAAGAAACUAUCCGUUGAAAUGAA